UACAGAGGGGGCAAGCGUUGUUCGGAAUUACUGGGCGUAAAGGGCGCGUAGGCGGCCUGUUAAGUCGAACGUGAAAUCCCUGGGCUCAACCCAGGAACUGCGUCCGAUACUGGCAGGCUUGAAUUCGGGAGAGGGAUGCGGAAUUCCAGGUGUAGCGGUGAAAUGCGUAGAUAUCAGGAGGAACACCGGUGGCGAAGGCGGCUACCUGGACAGAAACUGACGCUGAGGCGCGAAAGCUAGGGGAGCAAACAGG
rnacentral:rRNA from 1 species